rnacentral:rRNA from 1 species
GUUCCCCUUCGGGGGACAGGGUGACAGGUGGUGCAUGGUUGUCGUCAGCUCGUGUCGUGAGAUGUUGGGUUAAGUCCCGCAACGAGCGCAACCCUCGACCUUAGUUGCCAGCAUUCAGUUGGGCACUCUAAGGUGACUGCCGGCUAAAAGUCGGAGGAAGGUGGGGAUGACGUCAAAUCAUCAUGCCCCUUAUGACCUGGGCUACACACGUGCUACAAUGGGCGGUACAAAGGGUCGCGAACCCGCGAGGGGAGCCAAUCCCAAAAAGCCGCUCUCAGUUCGGAUUGCAGGCUGCAACUCGCCUGCAUGAAGCCGGAAUCGCUAGUAAUCGCGGAUCAGCAUGCCGCGGUGAAUACGUUCCCGGGCCUU